UACGUAGGGACCGAGCGUUGUCCGGAUUCAUUGGGCGUAAAGAGCUCGUAGGCGGCUGCUCAAGUCGAAUGUGAAAACUCGAGGCUCAACCUCGAGCCUGCAUUCGAUACUGGGCGGCUAGAGUCUGGUAGGGGGAUCUGGAAUUCCUGGUGUAGCGGUGGAAUGCGCAGAUAUCAGGAGGAACACCAAUGGCGAAGGCAGCUCGCUGGAACGGUACUGACGCUGAGGCGCGAAAGCGUGGGGAGCAAACAGG
rnacentral:rRNA from 1 species